rnacentral:piRNA from 1 species
UGACAUCAGUGGUGUCAAGACAACUCUAAGA